GUCUACGGCCAAGCCACCCUGAACAAGCCCAAUGUCUGAUCUCAGAAGCUAAGCAGGGUUGAGCUUGGUUAGUACUUGGAUGGGAGACCACCUAGGAAGACCAGGUGCUGUAGGCA
rnacentral:rRNA from 1 species